AACGAACGCUGGCGGCAUGCCUAACACAUGCAAGUCGAACGAGACCUUCGGGUCUUGUGGCGCACGGGUGCGUAACGCGUGGGAACCUGCACUUAGGUUCGGACUAACUCCCCGAAAGGGGUGCUAAUACCGGAUAAUGUCUUCGGCCCAAAGAUUUAUCGCCUUUGGAUGGGCCCGCGUUGGAUUAGCUAGUUGGUAGGGUAAAAGCCUACCAAGGCGACGAUCCAUAGCUGGUCUGAGAGGAUGAUCAGCCACACUGGGACUGAGACACGGCCCAGACUCCUACGGGAGGCAGCAGUGGGGAAUAUUGGACAAUGGGCGAAAGCCUGAUCCAGCAAUGCCGCGUGAGUGAUGAAGGCAGUAGGGUUGUAAAGCUCUUUUACCCGGGAUGAUAAUGACAGUACCGGGAGAAUAAGCUCCGGCUAACUCCGUG
rnacentral:rRNA from 1 species